GUGGCCAUAGCUCAAUGGUAGAGCAGUGGCCUGUGGAGCCACUGAUACGGGUCCGAUCCCCGUUGGCCACCCCC
rnacentral:tRNA from 1 species